rnacentral:tRNA from 1 species
GCCUGGGUGGCUCAGUUGGUUGAGCAUCUGACUUCGGCUCAGGUCAUGAUAUCAUGGUUUGUUGGUUCAAGCCCAGCAUCGGGCU